UACAGAGGUCCCAAGCGUUGUUCGGAUUCAUUGGGCGUAAAGGGUGCGUAGGCGGCGCGGUAAGUCGGGUGUGAAAUCUCGGAGCUUAACUCCGAAACUGCAUUCGAUACUGCCGUGCUUGAGGACUGGAGAGGAGACUGGAAUUUACGGUGUAGCGGUGAAAUGCGUAGAUAUCGUAAGGAGACCAGUGGCGAAGGCGGGUCUCUGGACAGUUCCUGACGCUGAGGCACGAAGGUCAGGGAGCAAACGGG
rnacentral:rRNA from 1 species